ensembl:miRNA
GUUCAUCGUAAGUUUGACAGGGAGUCUGGUGUUGAUUGUCCAAACGCAAUUCUUGUACUGCUGCUCCAAAUCCAGGAGUUGUGGAUGGACAUCAUGCUCCCCUCU